AUACGGAGGGGGCUAGCGUUGUUCGGAAUUACUGGGCGUAAAGCGCGCGUAGGCGGAUUGAUCAGUCAGGGGUGAAAUCCCGAGGCAUAACCUCGGAACUGCCUCUGAUACUGUCAAUCUUGAGUUCGUGAGAGGUGAGUGGAAUUCCUAGUGUAGAGGUGAAAUUCGUAGAUAUUAGGAAGAACGCCAGUGGCGAAGGCGGCUCACUGGCUCGAUACUGACGCUGAGGUGCGAAAGCGUGGGGAGCAAACAGGAUUAGAAACCCUUGUAGUCC
rnacentral:rRNA from 1 species